rnacentral:rRNA from 1 species
GUAACACGUAAGCAACCUGCCUAUCAGAGGGGAACAACAGUUAGAAAUGACUGCUAAUACCGCAUAUGCCUUAGAAUCACAUGGUUCAAAAGGGAAAGGAGCAAUCCGCUGAUAGAUGGGCUUGCGUCUGAUUAGAUAGUUGGUGAGGUAACGGCCCACCAAGUCGACGAUCAGUAGCCGGACUGAGAGGUUGAACGGCCACAUUGGGACUGAGAUACGGCCCAGACUCC